rnacentral:rRNA from 1 species
UGUUCUACGGGGGGCAGCAGUGGGGAAUAUUGGACAAUGGGGGAAACCCUGAUCCAGCGACGCCGCGUGAGUGAAGAAGUAUUUCGGUACGUAAAGCUCUAUCAGCAGGAAAGAAAAUGACGGUACCUGACUAAGAAGCCCCGGCUAACUACGUGCCAGCAGCCGCGGUAAUACGUAGGGGGCAAGCGUUAUCCGGAUUUACUGGGUGUAAAGGGAGCGUAGACGGCAGGGCAAGUCUGGAGUGAAAGGCGGGGGCCCAACCCCCGGACUGCUCUGGAAACUGUGUAACUGGAGUGCAGGAGAGG